rnacentral:rRNA from 1 species
GACGUAGGGGGCCAGCGUUGUUCGGAAUUACUGGGUGUAAAGGGUUCGUAGGCGGUGUGGCAAGUCGGGAGUGAAAUCUCUGGGCUCAACUCAGAGACUGCUUCCGAAACUGCUGUGCUGGAGUGUGAGAGAGGCGCGUGGAAUUGCAGGUGUAGCGGUGAAAUGCGUAGAUAUCUGCAGGAACACCCGUGGCGAAAGCGGCGCGCUGGACCACUACUGACGCUGAGGAACGAAAGCUAGGGGAGCAAACAGG